UACAGAGGUCUCAAGCGUUUGUUCGGAUUCAUUGGGCGUAAAGGGUGCGUAGGCGGCGCGGUAAGUCGGGUGUGAAAUCUCGGAGCUUAACUCCGAAAACUGCAUUCGAUACUGCCGUGCUUGAGGACUGGAGAGGAGACUGGAAUUUACGGUGUAGCGGUGAAAUGCGUAGAUAUCGUAAGGAAGACCAGUGGCGAAGGCGGGGUCUCUGGACAGUUCCUGACGCUGAGGCACGAAGGCCAGGGGGAGCAAAACGGGG
rnacentral:rRNA from 1 species